rnacentral:rRNA from 1 species
GAUGAACGCUGGCGGCGUGCCUAAUACAUGCAAGUCGAACGAGGUGCUUUUGUAGCAAUACGAGAGUAUCCUAGUGGCGAACGGGUGAGUAACGCGUUGGUGACCUACCCCAAAGUGUGGGAUAACAGUCCGAAAGGAUUGCUAAUACCGCAUGUGGUCAUUGGAUUUAGAAACUGAUGACUAAAGGAGCAAUUCGCUUUGGGAGGGACCUGCGUCCCAUCAGCUAGUUGGUGAGGUAACGGCUCACCAAGGCAACGACGGGUAGGGGACCUGAGAGGGUGACCCCCCACAAUGGAACUGAAACACGGUCCAUACACCUACGGGUGGCAGCAGUAGGGAAUAUUGCUCAAUGGGCGAAAGCCUGAAGCAGCAACGCCGCGUGUGCGAUGAAGGUCUUCGGAUCGUAAAGCACUUUUCUGCGAGAUGAGAAAGGACAGUAUCGUAGGAAUAAGUCUCGGCUAACUACGUGC